UUUUUGUGUAUGGCAUGGUUUUGUUUACAUCAUCAUACUUCUGAAAUUCAUUGCCUGGCACUCUUCCAGCUUGAUUUUGCAUGUUUUAAAAAGAUUCUUGUCAUUCUAACUCUAAAUUAGGUGUGCUGUAUUCUAGAGCUUUGAUUUUGUGUCUCCCAAAGUUGACGACUAGUGUAAGUCUGAAUCAGACAGCUUUUGUUUGAAUCGUCUGCUCACCUCACAGUUAAUGAGAUAACAGUGAAAUAAAAAUAAUUAAAAUAACAGAUUGAAAAAAGAGAAGUUACUGAGAUAACAGUGAAAUAAAAAUAUUAAAAUAACAGAUUGAAAAAAGAGAACUUGCGUAUCCAGGUGAUCAGUAUUACUUGAAUAGUAGUAAUCAAGACUAUUGAUUGUUGUUCUCUUCUCUUAGAUCUUUGCUCUGAUAACCAUGGCUGUUUUUAGGGUAUUAGCUCUUUCUCAAGAUCUGUUAAGAUGGAUCAGUGGCGCAAGGAUUGUGGCAGAUAACCCAUUCAUUCUUUUGAUUUCUUUCAGAUUUAGGCCUAUUAAAGGAAGGCAGGAAGAACUAAAGGAAGUAAUUGAACGUUUUAAGAAAGAUGAACACUUGGAGAAAGCCUUCAAAUGUUUGACUUCAGGCGAAUGGGCACGGCACUAUUUUCUCAACAAGAAUAAAAUGCAGGAGAAAUUAUUCAAAGAACAUGUAUUUAUUUAUUUGCGAAUGUUUGCAACUGACAGUGGAUUUGAAAUAUUGCCAUGUAAUAGAUACUCAUCAGAACAAAAUGGAGCCAAAAUAGUUGCAACAAAAGAGUGGUAACUAUUCUACUAGUAUAAGCCUUUAAUUUAAUUUAAAGUUCUCUUCUAAAUUAUUGUUGAAGUGCUGAGAAAUUCAUGGUAAGGAAUGAAGCCAGAGUUUACCCUGAAGUAGCCAAUGCAUCGCCGUUGCCUUGGCCCAUCAGCUGGAGUCAGAGUGGGGAAAUCGGAAGUCUCAGUUGAACCAGAUCCCAUCUCUAGGCCAAAUUGCUUUUCAUUUUCCUUUAUUGACUCUGGAUGCCUGUUCAGUGAUAUGAUUGCUGAAGAGUUGUGGAUACCGUGAUUAGAUAACCUGGCUUCCACAGUCAGUCUUCUACUGGCCUAGAAGAAAGGUUGGGGCUAAAGUUUUAAUGAUCCUAGUUUUAUGGGUGGAAACCUCCCUAAAGCAUUAGUUGCUUAAAAAUACAUACAUACAGAUAUAUAUAUAUGUAUAUAUGCCAGCUUCAAUAAAAAUAGUAGAGUUGGUGGGGGGCAUUGGCUCACGCCUAUAAUCCCAGCACUUUGGGAGGCCGAGGCAGGCAGAUCACUUGAGGUCAGGAGUUCAAGACCAGCCUGGCCAACAUGGUGAAACCCCAUCUCUACUAAAAAUACAAAAAUUAGCUGGGCGUGGUAGCACACACCUGUAGUCCUAGCUACUCGGGUGGCUGAGGCAGGAGAAUCACUUGAACCCAGGAGACAGAGGCUAUAGUGAGCUGAGAUCGCGCCACUGCACUCCAGCCUGGGCAAUAGAGUGAGACUCUAUCUCAAAAUUAAGUCAGAGUUGAGCCCAGCUAAAAGGGAUAAAAGUUACAGAUGAAAGAGAAUAUACUACUGUAUCUUCUUUCCUAUCAUGCCUGUUCCCUAUGUUAUCUCCCAGGAAAAACAUGUAGCUCCUCAUGUACCCACCCUCUGAUAUUUCUACCACAAAAAUUUGGGGGGUCAGAUAUCUGAAAAUGGAUAGGUAAAAGAACUUUAUUGCCAGGCCUCUGGGGUGAGUGUGUGUACAUGAAAUGUGCUUCAUUUACCUCAGGAUGUAUUGAGCCUGCUAGUUGGAUUAUGUGGCUCCCUGUGUUGCAGAUGGGUGUGUAGGUUUGAGAUCUAGAGUCCUAGAGCUGUACCGUCCGGUACAGUAGCCACCAGCCCUUGAGUCCUUGAAAUGUAGCUAGUCUGAAUUGAGAAGCGCUGUAAGUGUGCUAUACACACCAGAUUUCAUAUUAAAUUUUAUUCCCAUUCAUAGUUCUUAUAUUACCUACUGAAAUCGUAUUUUGGAUAUUGGGUUAAAAUAUAUUGUUGGCUGGGCAUGGUGGCUCAUCUGUAAUCCCAGCACUUUGGGAGGCUGAGGUGGGCGGAUCAUGACGUCAAGAAAUCGAGACCAUCCUGGCCAACACGGUGAAACUCCAUCUCUAGU
rnacentral:lncRNA from 1 species